rnacentral:rRNA from 1 species
AUUGAACGCUGGCGGCAGGCCUAACACAUGCAAGUCGAACGAGUGGCGGACGGGUGAGUAAUGUCUGGGAAACUGCCUGAGAGAGGGGGAUAACUACUGGAAACGGUAUCUAAUACCGCAUACCAUCGGAUGUGCCCAGAUGGGAUUAGCUAGUAGGGGGGGUAACGGCUCACCUAGGCGACGCUCCCUAGCUGGUCUGAGAGGAUGACCAGCCACACGGGAACUGAGACACGGUCCAGACUCCUACGGGAGGCAGCAGUGGGGAAUAUUGCACAAUGGGCGCAAGCCUGAUGCAGCCAUGCCGCGUGUAUGAAGAAGGCAUUCGGGUUGUAAAGUACUUUCAGCGGGGAGGCGUUAACCGCAGAAGAAGCACCGGCUAACUCCGUGCCAGCCGCCGCGGUAAUAC